GUAUAAAGUACUGAAGGCCCCUGGCAUGGGAGGGUCUGUGUAUACUGUGGCUCCGGUGCAUAACCCCCAGCAGGUAAAGCAUGUUCAUCGUUCUCUCAUAAAAGGCAAAGUGGAUUGUGCUGUGGAUUGUCCCCCCAGUGAACCCCCUGAACAGAUGGGAUCCAUCUCAGCAGAUGAGUCAUCGUUUGAUAGCGACUGGGCUGUAGUGACCUCUGAACCCAUGGCUGUCCCAAGAAACCACCUACCAGCGCGGCCUGUCAUCAGCACCCUCUCACCAAACCAAACUCGUGCUGUUGCUACAUCUCAGCCAAGCGAAGGCCCAGCGUAUUCAACAACUAGCACUGAAAUUCCAAGCACCAGUGAGGCCUCCCUGAGAAGAACUACCCGUCCAACCGCAGGAAGACACCCAAACCUUCACCAUUUUCCUCAGGUUGCUGGGAGUAGUGCUAUUGGGGCUGCUAACUCUCUGAUGCCCGUGCUUAGUGGCUGUGUGGUGUUUAGGCCAUGGCAGUAAAUGUAAAUCGUCGGGCCGACGAUUAAAAACCCAGGGGGUAGAUUGUGGUGAACCUCAGUAGGGGUUGUGAAUGCAACCCCAUCUAAGCUCCUCCUCCUGCACCCAGGUGCAGAUAAAAGGGCCAAGAUGGCUAAAGUCAGCCUCUGUUGGUUGCCUCCUAGGGUGGAUCCCCUGCUGCUGUUUUGUAUGGUUUUAGUUGUUCUGGUUAGCUGUUUUGUUUUGGUUCCGUUUGCUAUUUUGUUUUGGGUGCUUUGGUUAAGUUAGCUUUUGUGUUAUUUUCCCUUUUCUGUUUCAUUGUUUGACCUUUGGUUUGCUGGGUUACUUAACCCCUGUUUUGCAGUUUGGUUUGGUGAGGUUUUGCUCCUGUUUUCUUUAUUUAGUUAUUGUAAUAAAAGAAACGGUUAAUAUA